rnacentral:rRNA from 1 species
GAUGAACGCUGGCGGCGUGCCUAAUACAUGCAAGUAGAACGCUGAAGGAGGAGCUUGCUCUUCUGGAUGAGUUGCGAACGGGUGAGUAACGCGUAGGUAACCUGCCUGGUAGCGGGGGAUAACUAUUGGAAACGAUAGCUAAUACCGCAUGACAACAGUUAUUGCAUGAUAACUGUUUAAAAGGGGCAACUGCUCCACUACCAGAUGGACCUGCGUUGUAUUAGCUAGUUGGUGAGGUAACGGCUCACCAAGGCGACGAUACAUAGCCGACCUGGGAGGGGGAUCGGCCACACUGGGACUGAGACACGGCCCAGACUCCUACGGGAGGCAGCAGUAGGGAAUCUUCGGCAAUGGACGGAAGUCUGACCGAGCAACGCCGCGUGAGUGAAGAAGGUUUUCGGAUCGUAAAGCUCUGUUGUAAGAGAAGAACGAGUGUGAGAGUGGAAAGUGCACACUGUGACGGUAUCUUACCAGAAAGGGACGGCUAACUACGUG